UUGGCCUUUUAUUUGGCACCUGCAGGCAAA
rnacentral:piRNA from 1 species